UACCAGGAAGUGGUCCCACGACGGAGGUGGGCGGCUCGGCGGUCGCCGCCGGCCUGACGUCGGACUGUGCCGCGGUCGCGCAGAGCUUCUGGGCUCUGUGACCCCGCCCCCUUCCAGACGGUAAGGCUCUCCUCGUGUCCUGCGCAGGCUUUGUGGUUACACCGGAUACCUUGUAGUCACCCGGGGACACCCGGCCCUACACCCCAGGGUUGUCGAAUCGAGGGGAGUCAGGCCGUGGCCAUGCAGUUUGGCCAGGAGCUCGCAGUGGGUCCCCUUAGCCGUGCCUCCGUGCGUGAGCCCCUUCCCACUGACCACCAUGCACCUGUCUGGCCCUGGUUCCUGAGGAUUCUGCACCCACCCUUCCCUUUGCCGCACUUGGUGGGGACUUGCCUGGGAGCUGCUCCCACCCGCGCCCUCAUGCAACCUGGUGGAGCUGGCUCGCUGGCACUGGGCCUGCCUUGCCCCACCUUGUCACGGACUACACGUGUGGGGUCAGCAGUGAAGCCUGCACCCAGCUGCCAUUCCACGUUCAGGUGGAAUUCUCAAUAGUCACUGCACGGGGCUGGGUGUGCUGCUCUGCAUCAAGAGACCACAGGCCCAGAGCUCUCAUGAAGUCCUGCCUUUGCACCACAGGUCGGGGUGGGGACAUGCUCAUGAUCUGAAGUGUGCACCUACCCUGUCCCUGCUUUGUGGCCGUGUGCCUUUGGGGGUGCAGACCAGCACAUGAGCCAGCCACAUGCCAGGACCAGCACCUGCCUCAUUAGGAACUGACCCUGAGUAGCAGAUCAGAACCAGUCUCACGUGAGAAUGACUUGCCUGCACAGGUGGAAGGCCAGAGGCCUCAUCACAUGGGCCAGCUGCUGUGCCUGCCUCUGAGCUUCAGGAGCUGCCUCCUGUCCCAUGCUCAGAAACCCUGAGCUUUUAAGAGGCACCUGUCCCAGGGUCCUGUCUCAGACCUAGGAAAACCACACCUGCAGAGGGUGCUCACCUGCGUAGAGCAGACGCAACUGAGGACACCUCUGGCUCCCUUAGCUGAUGCUCUCAGAGCAAAGUAGCUUUACUAUGGCAGCCACUUCCUGGGGGAUAUCGGAACUGCCCAGGGGCAGGGGGGCUGCCUGACGUCACAGUGUGGCUGGUGCGGAGGUCAAGCCACUGAGGGAUGGGGCAACUGCAGCCGUUAGAAUAAUAAGCAGUAACCCAAGUCACCUCCCUGAGACGUCAUGACAAGGACAUGCCAGCCAGUCGUUCACCUGAUUUCCACAAUCACUUGUACUACUUGCACACGUGAGUCUAAUACUUAUUUUUGAAAAUCGUUUUCAAACUUAAGAUUACAUAAAACUAUCAAGUUUUUUAAUGAGUUGUUUAAUUGGCUGAAAUAAAAGGUUUCUUUGGUAGUUUUCCC